UACUAUUCAUAAUUGUUUGUACGAUAAUGACAUAAAUAGAAGUAUAUAAGCACCACAAUAAAUAAGCAUAUAACAAGGAUUUCAAUUUCGCUGUCUAUUCAUCAUGACUUUUUUAAAGUUUGUUUCCAAAUUUUAGAUGGCUGAUGGUGAGGAUGAUGAAAUCUCUCCUCUGUAUCAAGCACCAUUUAUAGGAAAACUAAGUACCUUUUACCGGGAGAUGGCGAUGAAACUUAAACUACCUAAGUUUUACGGUCAUCCACUUAAUUUCCUAAAGUUAAUGGAGAUCAGUGAUCAGAUUAGGUGGCUAUGAUCGUGUAAGCCUUCUAUUUUGCACUUAUAUUUGAUUAGUUCUCGAUUAUAGAUUUUACCUUUUUAAUUGAGUCAAAAACUACAGAAGAUAUUUUUAACUUCAAAAAAAUGUCCUCACUUAAUUGAAGCAAUGGGUCAAUAAUCGAGUGUAAUAAGUCAAGGAACUUUUUUUUGAUUAACCAUGACUUUAUGUGGUCAUUUUUGUUUUAAAAAAAAUUGCGGCUUAUUUACACGGCCAUGUGUAAGGCAUCCAUAAAGGGAUAGGUUUAUCUUUCCAAAUAUCACGAUGUGAACCUCGAGUUGUUAGAGAUAGUAUUCUUAAUUUUUCUUUUAAGAGAUAAGUAAUGUAGCUCUGUACUUUCUAGUAUAAUUUAAAAAAAUCAAGAGGUGGUUGUGUAUUUUCUUUUGUUACUAGGUUGAUUAAUUAAUGAUGCAAUAUGCUAUGAGUCUGUGAGAUGAAUUUUAUGUCAUUCCUAUAUACUUUUGAUGGUGUACUAAUAAGCUACUUUAUCUUUGUAAGUAACUGAAUUGAAGUCGUGGCGGCAUGUGGGAGACUCCUUUAAUCCCCCACCCCCCAAGUGAGCAUUUAUUUGGGCCUUGUUAUUUCUGUUUUUCUGGAAAUUUGAUAAGAAUAUUUCUCAUUGCUCGUCAAAUAUAAAAUUCCCAAUAUGCAAUUUGUACGGGAGAUGUUGUCUGUUAUUGUUUUAGUGAUGAUGUGCCAUGAUUUUGAUGUUUAUUUAUGUUGUUUUGUGAAAUGCUGCGAUAUAUUUUGGGUACAUGAAAUAGGAAUAAGCUGCUUUGUUGCUAGAA